rnacentral:rRNA from 1 species
GAUGAACGCUGGCGGCGUGCCUAAUACAUGCAAGUCGAGCGAACGGACGAUAAGCUUGCUUCUCUGAUGUUAGCGGCGGACGGGUGAGUAACACGUGGAUAACCUACCUAUAAGACUGGGAUAACUUCGGGAAACCGGAGCUAAUACCGGAUAAUAUUUUGAACCGCAUGGUUCAAAAGUUAAAGACGGUCUUGCUGUCACUUAUAGAUGGAUCCGCGCUGCAUUAGCUAGUUGGUAAGGUAACGGCUUACCAAGGCAACGAUGCAUAGCCGACCUGAGAGGGUAAUCGGCCACACUGGAACUGAGACACGGUCCAGACUCCUACGGGAGGCAGCAGUAGGGAAUCUUCCGCAAUGGGCGAAAGCCUGACGGAGCAACGCCGCGUGAGUGAUGAAGGUCUUCGGAUCGUAAAACUCUGUUAUUAGGGAAGAACAUAUGUGUAAGUAACUGUGCACAUCUUGACGGUACCUAAUCAGAAAGCCACGGCUAACUACGUG